UAGGGAAUCUUCCGCAAUGGGCGAAAGCCUGACGGAGCAACGCCGCGUGAGUGAUGAAGGUCUUCGGAUCGUAAAACUCUGUUAUUAGGGAAGAACAAAUGUGUAAGUAACUAUGCACGUCUUGACGGUACCUAAUCAGAAAGCCACGGCUAAUUACGUGCCAGCAGCCGCGGUAAUACGUAAGGUCCGAGCGUUGUCCGGAAUCAUUGGGCGUAAAGGGUACGUAGGCGGGUAAGCAAGUUAGAAGUGAAAUCCUGUAGCUCAACUACAGUAAGCUUUUAAAACUGCUCAUCUUGAGAUAUGGAAGGGAAAGUGGAAUUCCUAGUGUAGCGGUGAAAUGCGCAGAUAUUAGGAGGAAUACCGGUGGCGAAGGCGACUUUCUGGCCAUAAUCUGACGCUGAGGUACGAAAGCGUGGGUAGCAAACAGG
rnacentral:rRNA from 1 species